CUCUCUAUGGUUACAAACCACCUCCCUUAACAUUCCUGGCUUUGGAUAAUACUAUUGUAGGUGCUGUUGUUGAUUUUGUGAAGGAUAGGCAGCGCAUGUCUUAGCUAAUUAGGCAGAAUCUGCUAAUGGCUCAUAAUAGGAUGAAACAGUAUGCUGAUAAAAGAGGUCUAACAGGACUUUUGAACUGGGGGACCGGGUUUACCUUAAGCUGCAGCCCUACAGACAGACAUCAGUAGCUCUAAGAAAGAAUUUUAAGCUAGCAACCACAUUCUAUGGUCCAUUUCAGGUGGAGGCUAAAGUGGGUUCUGUUGCUUAUAAAUUGAAGUUACCUCCCACAACAUCCAUUCAUCCUAUCUUUCAUGUGUCACUCUUAAAGAGAAAAGUAGGUGAAGGUACUCUUGUAGUCCAAAAUCUUCCCACUUUUCAGGAUGACAU
rnacentral:misc_RNA from 1 species